rnacentral:rRNA from 1 species
AGUUUGAUCAUGGCUCGAUUGAACGCUGGCGGGAUGCUUUACACAGCGUAAAGUCGAACGGCAGCACGGACUUCGGUCUGGUGGCGAGUGGCGAACGGGUGAGUAAUGUAUCGGAACGUGCCUAGUAGCGGGGGAUAACUACGCGAAAGUUGCAGCUAAUACUGCAUACGACUUUCGGGGGAAAGCGGGGACCUUUCGCCUCGCACUAUUAGAGCGGCCGAUAUCGGAUUAGCUAGUUGGUGGGGCACGCUCACCAAGGCGACGAUCCGUAGCUGGUUUGAGAGGACGACCAGCCAGCCGGGACUGAGACACGGCCCAGACUCCUACGGAGGCAGCAGUGGGGAAUUUUGGACAAUGGGGGAAACCCCGAUCCAGCCAUCCCGGCGUGUGCGAUGAAGGCCUCGGGUUGGGGAAGCACUUUUGGCAGGAGAAACAUGGCACGGGCACAGUUCCUGGGCAUAACUGACGGUACCUGGCAGAAUAAGCACCGGCUAACUACGUGCCAGCAGCCGCGGUAAUACGUAGGGUAAGCGUUAAUCGGAAUUACUGGGCGUAAAGCGUGCGCAGGCGGUUCGGAAAGAAAGAUGUGAAAUCCCAGAGCUUAACUUUGGAACUGCAUUUAACUACCGAGCUAGAGUGUGUCAGGAGUGGAGGUGGAAUUCCGCGUGUAGCAGUGAAAUGCGUAGAUAUGCGGAGGAACACCGAUAAGAAGGCAGCCCCUGGGAUAACACUGACGCUCUUCGUACGAAAGCGUGGGGAGCAAACAGGAUUAGAUAAUUCCGGUAGUCCACGCCCUAAACGAUGUCAACUAGCUGUUGGGGCCGGCCUGGUAGCGCAGCUAACGCGCGUGUUGACCGCCUGGGGAGUACGGUCGCAAGAUUAAAACUCAAAGGAAUUGACGGGGACUCCGCACAAGCGGUGGAUGAUGUGAUUAAUUCGAUGUAACGCGAAAAACCUUACCUACUCCUGACAUGUCUGGAAUCCCGGUGAGAUUUUGGAAGUGCUCGCAAGAGAACCGAACACAGGUGCUGCAUGGCUGUCGUCAGCUCAAAAUGUGAGAUGCCGGGUUAAGUCCUGCAACGAAGCGCAACCCUUGUCAUUAGUUGCUACGAAAGGGUACCCUAAUGAGACUGCCGGUGACAAACCGGAGGAAGGUGGGGAUGACGUCAAGUCCUCAUGGCCCUUAUGGGUAGGGCUUCACACGUCAUACAAUGGUCGGGACAGAGGGCUGCCAACCCGCGAGGGGGGAGCCAAUCCCAGAAACCCGAUCGUAGUCCGGAUCGCAGUCUGCAACUCGACUGCGUGAAGUCGGAAUCGCUAGUAAUCGCGGAUCAGCAUGUCGCGGUGAAUACGUUCCCGGGUCUUGUACACACCGCCCGUCACACCAUGGGAGUGGGUUUUACCGGUAAGCAGUUAGUCAACUGCAAGGAGGGCGAUUACCACGGUAGGAUUCAUGACUGGGGUGAAGUCGUAAUAAGCAGGG